GAUUAUAUUUUCAGGCAUCCGUGUACAAGAUUUGCAGAGAAAUGUAUGACGAUGGAGUGGGUUUACCCUUUCAAAGUCAGCCUGAUCUUAUUGGAGACAAGUAUGUGAUAAGUAUUUGGAUUUGAGAGUAGACCUUUCAUAGCGAGGCUUAUCAGGUUGAGGGGAGGUGAUGACUGGAAAUAUAUUUAUUUAUUUUAAAUCCCACUUUGGCUUUAGUAAAAUCUGAAUAUGUGUGCAUUUCUAGUUUCUUACACCAAAUGUAGCUUCCGUAAGUUCAUGCAAGUACAGUGGGUCUUGCAUCACUGAAGUCUGAAUUUUAUAUUAGCAACUUAAAAGUUUACUGUGGCCUCUUUCUUCUGAGCAGGUUAGUAGGAGGGCUGCUUUCCCUCAGCCUGGAUUACUGCUUUGUCCUAGAAGAUGAAGAUGGCAUAUGUGGUUAUGCCUUGGGCACUGUAGAUGUGACCCCCUUUAUUAAAAAAUGUAAAAUUUCCUGGAUCCCCUUCAUGCAGGAGAAGUAUACCAAGCCAAAUGGUGACAAGGAACUCUCUGAGGCUGAGAAAAUAAUGUUGAGUUUCCAUGAAGAACAGGAAGUACUGCCAGAAACUUUCCUUGCUAAUUUCCCUUCUCUGAUAAAGAUGGACAUUCACAAAAAAGUAACUGACCCAAGUGUGGCCAAAAGCAUGAUGGCUUGCCUCCUGUCUUCACUGAAGGCUAAUGGCUCCCGGGGAGCUUUCUGUGAAGU
rnacentral:sRNA from 1 species